GGACUUCAGGUCAAUGAGAGAUUUGAAAACAGCGAGAGAUUCCUGAAUGUUGGAGAUGGAAGAUCUGUUCCAGUUCUAGCUUUAGAAAAUCUCAAACUUGUUUUCAAUUCUCAUGUAGUUGUCUUGAGUGAUUGUCGCUAUUGUCCUACAUUCUGUUCUUAUUGAAUGUAAUUUCCGUAGGCCUUUUGGCCAUGAACGGUUAUGAAAUUUCAAUAAAGAAAUGUUCUUGUGAUAUCAUUAU
rnacentral:lncRNA from 1 species